ensembl:lncRNA
UAACAUUUGUAUGUCUGUUAUCAUUUCCAUUUCUUGAAUCUGAAUCAUGUAUAUAAAUUGUCCACCCUACUUGAAAAAAAAUAUGUGGGGCAGCUUUCCUCUGUGAUAUGUGAUGUCAGAGAGGACUAAACCAGGCACAAUUAUCCAUUUUGGGCACAGCUGUUGGCUAUACACUCAGAAAUCCGGUGGCCAAAAUUGCCUCAAGAUACCAAAUUGUUUCUGAGGAUGGCAAGAUUUAAUUAGCAUUCUGAAAUUUCCUUGAAACACCCAAGAAUGGUUAGUAUGCCAGGGGAAGAAAGCAGGAUCAUAAUCCAAGGCCAAAGAGGACUUUGUUUACAGCUGCCCUGACCAUAUUCACAGGCAGUUUGCUUGCUCAAGCCAACAGAAUGAGGAAGUGAAUAUUAUGUCAUUUCUGAGCCUUGACUUCAAAAGGCCUUGUGUUAAUCCUGCCCAGCUGGUAAAUGAAUACGUGUGGCCAAGUGGCCUCCUGUCUAUAGUGACAGCCAGACCACUGGGGAGAUAUAAGGGAAGCCAUACUAGACCAACAAGGACUCAGGGCCAGCCAACUGCCUUUGAUGAGCAAGUCUGGCCCAAACUGGAUCAUGUGAGCACAGCUAUACAGCUGAAGAGUGAAUUCAGCAAUGAGAAGAAAUCCUCAUUAUUUUAUACUUCUGUGUUGAAGUCUCAACAAUCAACAGAACAACAAAUCAAGUCCCAAUUUGAAGUGUCAGCUACUCUCUGAGGUGAAACUUGGCCAUUAUGGUCAUUUUCGACUCGCUGGGGCAAUGUCAUGAACAUAGAAUUGGAAAGAGAUGCAUACUAUCACUGCAGAGGUAAAAUCAAAUUACCUCUUAAGGGCAUGGAUGACAUUUAAAUUUAAUAAAAUUCUGGGAAGC